UAACAUGUUGUUGUACAUGUAAAUGUGGUACACGAGAUAUGUUACAUCUGACAUGCUAUGUCUUUCAACAAUGUGAGCCAUUUUAUACGAGUUACCGCCAUUUUCUUUGUCUUUUACUAAUCUUGUGUACAUAGAUCACUCUGUUCCGAAACGAUUCAAGGAUUCCAGUGAAACAUAUCUGAAAAAAUAACUUAUUUCGCAGAAAAACUGUGACUUUUAUGUACUCUCAUGUUAAACCACUUCAUAAUCUUUAUAUAAGAACAUUUUGAUUGAAUGAAUCCGUUGAAUACACAGUAAAAAAAAUUUACAUUACUUUAAAUGCACAUAAAUGGAGCAUUGGAAACCAUGUAAUAUUCCGUCUGGCAUUAUAUUCACAUGCAAUGUAAAUGAAUAUAUUGUGAAUUUGCAUGCAUAUUUAUAUUCGAAGCUUUAAGUUUAUAUCAAUUAACGUACAAAUUUACAUGGCUUAAAACGACUCUGUAUUUUGCAUCAUUAACGGUGUGAAAUUGUAUAUGUUUUUCACUUUAUGUGCUAGAAACCGUUAUGUGCUUUCAUUUGUAUUAGUUGUAAAUUUCAUUUUUUGGUACUGUGUAGAAUUUAUUUUUCGAAAAUUGCUUCUUCUGAAAAAUUUUCCCAAUGGCACAUAGACCUCUCUGUUCCCAAACGGCUCAAUUAAUCUCAAAACUCAACAUGAUUGUAUAUUUAAAACCACUUCCAGUUGGUUUCAAAGAACGAUACUGGUGUAACAAGACAGGCAAAUUCUGCGUCUUGUAUUAACAAAAAGUCACGUUCAGAUAGCGAAAAAUAGCUUUCAGGUUUUGUUAUACGCUAAAAACGACAAUUCCCCGUACAUAUAUCUAAUUGAAACUUGUUUGUCUUAUAUGUCUAGAAUUAAAUGUUUUUCAAUCAUUGAUCACUUUGCCGGUGUCUUCCGGUUUCUACGAAAAAUGUUGAAAAUAAUCUUUAAAUAUUUCUAAACUAACAACAGUGAUCGAACCGACAACAGCGGUGCUGGAGAACAAUUACUAUCAACUACCACUGUCGACACACCUUCAGCAACGCUUAUCUUUGUAAAUACAUCUCCAGCUUCAUUUUCACCCGAGUCGGGUAUCUACAGCGAUAGUGAUUGUAAAAACAAAAAUACUACGAUACCUGUGAUGCUGCGUCCGAAAAACUUUCGCAAUCCGGAUCUACUGCAGUCUACUUUCGAGCGGGAUCCACAAAUAUCAAUCCAUAGUAGCAUCUAUGAUGGUAGCAGUAUUUAUUCCACUGAGUCCGGUGGUGGUGAUCCGGAUCAAAUUGGACUACCACCAAGCAAUAGAAACCGCUGGAUUCCAUUACAACAGCGAGACCUAUUAGAACGACAGGCAAACCUACUUGUAGCAGGAGCAAAUAUCAGGCGGAAAAGAGAAACAGAAAUUUUCUAAAUCAAUGGUUGAUUCGAAAUAGCUACUAGAAAAGUUGAUGGAGACAAUUUUUAAAAGUCCAUUUAGGACUAGAUUUCACAGACGAGGAAAACAUUAUUUAAUUUUUUUUUUCAUCUGCCAAGUACAUGAGAUGUUAUAGAAGAAUUCUGGUUUGCACCAUUGCUAAUAUUGAGUUUCCUCAUGCUGAUAAUAAAGUACAACUGUAUGAGAAGUUAGCUGAUAGUUGUCUAAACAACACAACGAAUUCGUCAGAGUCAAAACGAUGUUUUAACACGACGGAAUAUAAAAUACCAAAGCUGAGAGAUUCUACAAUUGCAUCGCAGUAAAAUAAGAUACCAAGGCUGCGGACUUACAAUUACAAUUUACGCAUUUAUUAGAAUUAGUUGUAAAAUGUUCGUUUGCGACAUUUUCGAAGCUUGUUUCCUUGUACUUUUGUAAAUCAGUGCAAUUCAAUAAUAGUUACUGGAUUAUUACACGUAUCUAGAGAAGUUAAUGGCCUCGUUAGGGUGAAUAAAUGAUUUUACAAAACAAACCUGCAGUAAACUUCAAUCAUUUCAAAACGAAAUGCCGAGUAACUGACUCAUGACUACGAAUACUGUUUUAUUUCAUGGUUAGUCCUACUAUAAAGAGACUUAUUAAGAAUCAUAUCCGAAUAGCAUAGCAUAGUUGAAAAAAAAGAACCUCACUAAGUAACUGCUUUUUUUACUACGACAAGCAGCCUAGAAAAAUGAUAUUCUUUUCGUCUGACGUAGCCUUCGCAGUAAGCUGUGACAAUUGUGGUUUUGAACCAAAUUAAAAUAUGCGAUGACUGGCCAUUCACGCUAAUCGCUAAUAAAGUGUUCUCUGGAAGUAGUUCUUGCAUAACUUUUUAAAAGACCCCAAGUAACAGUACCUACUGUAACUGUAACUAAGCGAUACCGAAAGUACCGAUCUGAAGCAGCCAAUCACCAAGACUCAACGUUUGAAAGUUUUAUUCAGGAAGAAGCGCACUACAUCAAAAGACGAUCAAUUGGUCGAUAAAGACCUAACCACCCCCACUCCAACUUUAGCUGAGCCAGCUCAUUCUGUGGAACAACAAAGGAGCAAUCCUGGAAACGAGGCAAAACUUCAUGAGUCAACUACUUCCAAGGCCGACGUGCCAACACUUGUUUAUGCUGAAUUGGAACUCAAGCCGGCAGAGUACAAUUUCCAUGCCAAGCCAGAAGCGACUGAAUACGCAGAAAUCCUCUACGUCCAAAAGGCGGAUGCUGGCCUUGAAAAUGUAAAUGCGAAAAAAACGAAAACGCUUACUGGAGCAUCGACAGCUGAACAGUCUAGUGAAUAAAAAUCAGUAACGUAUGCAGGCCCAAAAGAAAACCAAGUGUAGAGGUUAAAGAGAAAUAGACUCCUCCUGAUCACACAGAGCCAGAUUGUUUUCUAAGAGACGACAGAUGAUUUUCCAUUAUCAUGAAACACCUCUCUCAGGCCCGUAGCUACCUAAUGGGCUAGAGGGGGCUUAGCCCCCCCCACGCGUUUGUAUUGCCCCUAGCGAUUUUUUUUCUAAUUCAUAUAAAAAAGCAAAUACUUCAACUAUUCACAUAUUCUAGAUUAGAUUUUGUAUAUUUAGGCCGAAUGUAUUUCUUUUAAAUUACUUAUUUAACAAUAAAACUUCAGUGAAAUUUCUGUGCCCCACCACGCAAAACAGAGUAGCUACGGCUCUGACCUCUCUAUGUUAAACAUAGAACAAACACUCUCCUUACCCAGUUUUUUAUCAUUGCCUGAUUGUUUGCUACCUUUUACAGUUUUUAGACGUAAUAUUGAACCGUUCUAUGUUUGUGUCUGCAUCUUAGGGUCUACGACAAAAAAAAAACAUAAACUAGUUAAAAUUGAAGCCUGAAACGCACCAGUGUAAAAAAAACCAGCUAGCUGGCAUCCCGCCAUGUUUCGAGGACUAACAUCUCAGCGUGUGUGUAAACGAGAAAGCAUAUCACCGCCACUUUUCAUACGCAUAACAUAGCAUCUGUCAAUGGGGCCCGAAAAUCGCGGAUCCGCAGCGAUGUUAGCUGCGAUGAAACAAAGUAAAUAAGAUAGAGAUGCCAGCUAGCUGCAAAAAACACUAGAUUUCACAGGUCACUAUUUAUGGUAUUUAAAUAUUCCUAACAAAUACAUUUUAUGCUUAUAAUAUUAAUGACUACUUUUGCUCAAACUCUUUAAAAAACUUAAAAUACAAAAAAAUCACAUGUCAAGCGGCGUUUUUAAACAUACCCUGUUAGGAACAGACACACUUUGCUGAAAAGCGGGUACGAAUAUUCUCGGUUUAAUAUCUAAUAAUAAAAAGUCUGAUUCAUUAUUACAGACAUGAUAUAUCACAUAGUGAUAAAUUUUAAAAACGUGGAUUGAAUAAUAAACAA